UCGUACACUCCAACCAAACCCAAACCAGUCGUCUUCCUGCUCUGCCCCCUCGCCCCCGAGAUCCCAUCCAAAACCAGCUGCCGGCGACCUCGCCUCACCAACCCCGUCGGCGACCUCGCCUCCCCCAUCACCGGCCUCAGAUCCACCUGAGCAACUUAGCCCUUGGCCAGAUUCGUAGCCCACGGCGUCACGGAGCUCCUUCUACACACCAAGCACCGGCAGAGGAGUCCUGUCCUCCUCCCACAGCUACCGCGCCCUCCUCCUCCUUCCACUCCCUAGCCGCGUGCCGCGUCCAACCUUCACAGCUCAGCUCUCCCUCCCUCCUCGCCUCCGAAACCCUAGCCCGCGGGCUGCCAUGGCGACCGAGCUCAGGACCCGAGCAACAUAGACAAGGUUUGCUCCCAUUUGGUCCGAUGAAGGAGCCCAUGGAGAAGCUGCUGCUGGGAGAGGAGGGCGACGACGCAGUUCAGUUCCGUUUGGCUGCUCCGACCAUGCUAGUGCCUUGCUGACGCCAUGGAAGGACGGAGUAGAGUACUUCUCUACAGAGGUUAAGCAUGCAAACUGAGAAGGUGCUCUAUUUCUAAAAGAAGUUGUAAAUCCUCCUUGAUGGUAAUAUAUAGGAGAGGACGAACUCACUCGAGCACGCCAAAGUUUGGUUAUAGAUGGCCUAUUGUAUUUCAUAUCUACGUUUUUAUUCUUUGAGCUGAUUUUUGUUCAUUACGAUGCAGUGCUGAUGCAUUGUAAUUAAAAAUAUCCAAGAAUUAAAUUUAUGAUGCGUACAGGGUACAGCCACAACAUGUGUUAAAUGUGUCCCUAAUUGUACUGCAGACCAAUCCUAAUUCACAUUAAUCAGCUCAAAGUAGAGCUCUCAGACCAAAUGUGCAGCAGCAACUAUCGGGCUACAAACCUGAAUGUUUGCAUUAAAGAAUAAGUCCAAAUUAGUGAGCUCUACUGCCCACUGCGAUUUCUUUGUAUUAAAGAAAAAAAAAACAGUACUUUUAUCUCGCUGGAACUAUGAUGUUCAUACAUCUAUGAGUAUGUUCAGUUUAUUUUGUCCAAGUCGUUCUCUAGCCAACAAUUUAUACUAGUCAAAUUGUGCGUGUUUCUUAUGUGUGAUAUAGUAUCUCACAGUUGGUUCUUAUUCUGUACAUAACAUGGUUAUCAAGCUUUUCUUGGUUACGAACAUCGUGUAGCAGGCUGCUGUGAGAGAUGUGCAGGAAGCUUGUGUGCAUGAUGGAUAUGUUCUCCACCAUAACUGUACGCCAAGGUGCACCACUGUGUUUCUUGUGCCAUCCAUGCCCACAUUGUCGGUGUCCACUCCCGUGAGAACAGGAGGAACCGUGAGCAUCUGCAGCGUUUCUGGCGCAGGUUUUGAAAACGGCUGCUGGCUGGUCUAUCUUCUGCCCAUUGACAAGCUUCUCCAAUCUGGUGAGGAUUGAUGCCCACCAAGUCGUAUGUCGUGUACAAGGGUAAGGUUCCCGGAGUCUACGACGACUGGGAGGAGUGUUGGAGACAGGUUCACUGUUUCAGCGGUAACAAUUACAAAUGAUACACCACAAGGGCGGAGGCGGAAGUUAGAUACGCGUGCUAUCUAGCGGGAGAGAGGAGGGAGCGUUGGAGGAACCGGAUGAAGACCGGUUACAUCGCGAUUAUGCUCAUCGUGAUGACCGCAGCUCUGUUCUAUGUGAUGGUAGUUUAGAUGAUUGAUAUCGACUUGUAAUGUGAAGACAAACUCAUUACUCGUGGUCAUUCGGAGACUAAUCUUCUAUUGUAUUCAAUAAAUCUUCUGUUUAUA